AUUGAACGCUGGCGGCAGGCCUAACACAUGCAAGUCGAGCGAGCGGCGGACGGGUGAGUAAUGCCUGGGAAUUGCCCAGUCGAGGGGGAUAAUAGUUGGAAAUGACUGCUAAUACCGCAUAUGCAUGGAUUGCGCAGGUGGGAUUAGCUAGUGGGUGGGGUAAUGGCUCACAAAGGCGACGAUCCCUAGCUGGUCUGAGAGGAGGACCAGCCACACUGGAACUGAGACACGGUCCAGACUCCUACGGGAGGCAGCGUUGGGGAAUAUUGCACAAUGGGGGAAACCCUAAUGCGGCAAUGCCGCGUGUGUGAAGAAGGCCUUCGGGUUGUAAGGCACUUUCAGCGAGGAGGCGUUACUCGCAGAAAAAGCACCGGCUAACUCCGUGCCAGCAGCCGCGGUAAUAC
rnacentral:rRNA from 1 species